GCGGCGGACGGGUGAGUAACACGUGGGUAACCUGCCUGUAAGACUGGGAUAACUCCGGGAAACCGGAGCUAAUACCGGAUAGUUCCUUGAACCGCAUGGUUCAAGGAUGAAAGACGGUUUCGGCUGUCACUUACAGAUGGACCCGCGGCGCAUUAGCUAGUUGGUGAGGUAACGGCUCACCAAGGCGACGAUGCGUAGCCGACCUGAGAGGGUGAUCGGCCACACUGGGACUGAGACACGGCCCAGACUCCUACGGGAGGCAGCAGUAGGGAAUCUUCCGCAAUGGACGAAAGUCUGACGGAGCAACGCCGCGUGAGUGAUGAAGGUUUUCGGAUCGUAAAGCUCUGUUGUUAGGGAAGAACAAGUGCAAGAGUAACUGCUUGCACCUUGACGGUACCUAACCAGAAAGCCACGGCUAACUACGUGCCAGCAGCCGCGGUAAUACGUAGGUGGCAAGCGUUGUCCGGAAUUAUUGGGCGUAAAGGGCUCGCAGGCGGUUUCUUAAGUCUGAUGUGAAAGCCCCCGGCUCAACCGGGGAGGGUCAUUGGAAACUGGGAAACUUGAGUGCAGAAGAGGAGAGUGGAAUUCCACGUGUAGCGGUGAAAUGCGUAGAGAUGUGGAGGAACACCAGUGGCGAAGGCGACUCUCUGGUCUGUAACUGACGCUGAGGAGCGAAAGCGUGGGGAGCGAACAGGAUUAGAUACCCUGGUAGUCCACGCCGUAAACGAUGAGUGCUAAGUGUUAGGGGGUUUCCGCCCCUUAGUGCUGCAGCUAACGCAUUAAGCACUCCGCCUGGGGAGUACGGUCGCAAGACUGAAACUCAAAGGAAUUGACGGGGGCCCGCACAAGCGGUGGAGCAUGUGGUUUAAUUCGAAGCAACGCGAAGAACCUUACCAGGUCUUGACAUCCUCUGACAACCCUAGAGAUAGGGCUUUCCCUUCGGGGACAGAGUGACAGGUGGUGCAUGGUUGUCGUCAGCUCGUGUCGUGAGAUGUUGGGUUAAGUCCCGCAACGAGCGCAACCCUUGAUCUUAGUUGCCAGCAUUUAGUUGGGCACUCUAAGGUGACUGCCGGUGACAAACCGGAGGAAGGUGGGGAUGACGUCAAAUCAUCAUGCCCCUUAUGACCUGGGCUACACACGUGCUACAAUGGACAGAACAAAGGGCUGCGAGACCGCAAGGUUUAGCCAAUCCCACAAAUCUGUUCUCAGUUCGGAUCGCAGUCUGCAACUCGACUGCGUGAAGCUGGAAUCGCUAGUAAUCGCGGAUCAGCAUGCCGCGGUGAAUA
rnacentral:rRNA from 2 species